UACAGGGGGAGCAAGCGUUGUUCGGAUUUACUGGGCGUAAAGGGCGCGUAGGCGGCCAGCACAAGUCAGUUGUGAAAUCUCCGAGCUUAACUCGGAAAGGUCAACUGAUACUGUGCGGCUAGAGUGCGGAAGGGGCAACUGGAAUUCUUGGUGUAGCGGUGAAAUGCGUAGAUAUCAAGAGGAACACCUGCGGCGAAGGCGGGUUGCUGGGCCGACACUGACGCUGAGGCGCGAAAGCCAGGGGAGCGAACGGG
rnacentral:rRNA from 1 species